rnacentral:rRNA from 1 species
ACAGCAGUAGCCACGGGAAUACGAAGGGUGCAAGCGUUACUCGGAAUUACUGGGCGUAAAGCGUGCGUAGGUGGUGGUUUAAGUCCGUUGUGAAAGCCCUGGGCUCAACCUGGGAAUUGCAGUGGAUACUGGGUCACUAGAGUGUGGUAGAGGAUAGUGGAAUUUCCGGUGUAGCAGUGAAAUGCGUAGAGAUCGGAAGGAACAUCUGUGGCGAAGGCGACUAUCUGGGCCAACACUGACACUGAGGCACGAAAGCGUGGGGAGCAAACAGGAUUAGAUACCCGAGUAGUCCCUGUCUCUUAUAU